UGGGUUAACCAGUUGGUCGCUUUUUAAUAAAGAGGAAAGUCCGAACUCCGCAGGAUAGAGCGCCUCAUAACAUGAGGAUCUUAGUAAAGAAUGGAUAGUGCAACAGAAAGUAUACCGCCUAAAUUUAGGUAAGGGUGAAACAGUAGUGUAAGAGACUACUAUUAUUUUUUGGAAGAAAAAUAAUCUGUAAACCCCGCUUGGAGCAAGAUUAAGUAGCCCUGCGUUAUCCGCGCAUAAGGGUGGGUGAAUUGCUUGAACAUGUUAGNGAUAAUAUGUCCAGAUGAAUGACCAAUNCUAUAUUNUAUAGUACAGAAUUCGGCUUAUAGGUUAACCCAUAAA
rnacentral:RNase_P_RNA from 1 species